AUGUCGGGCAAGAAAAGAAAGGUGGAAGACAUUAGAAGCUAUUUCACCAAACGAAGUGUAAGUCACCUGAGGAAAAUAGUCCCCUCUCAUAGGCUGCCGCUAAUGAAUCCAAAUCAUUGUGUCCAACCGUUUUCUCACUCUGAAUGGCGAUUGAUUUGUUACUUUGUCAGACAGAGGAACCCCGGCCAGGUUGGAGCUCAUACAGGGAAGAUUCAUGGCUACAGCAUACCUGUACGUCGCCACCUCCAGGUUCAGAGACGUCUUCGUCUGCAGGAGGCCGCGGUUCUCCAGGACCAGGCGGUGGAUCUGCUGGCCCAGCUCCUCUCUCUCCGCCUCCAGGCCCUCCAAGUGCUCCUGCCAAAAACAGGAAGUGAAAGAGGAAAAGGAAGCGGUUUAAAAAAAGACUUGCACGUCAGCACUCUUCUGGUUGCUGGUCGUCCAGGACCACACUGGGAGAACGCAGCUUUGUCCUCAUAAGUGCUCCAUUUCGGGUGCUUCACCUCUCUGACUCCACCGUGACCCUGAACUAAUCCCACCAGACUCAGCCUAUAAAUAUGUAGUCG
rnacentral:lncRNA from 1 species